rnacentral:rRNA from 1 species
ACGGAGGGGGUUAGCGUUGUUCGGAAUUACUGGGCGUAAAGCGCGCGUAGGCGGACUAUUAAGUCAGGGGUGAAAUCCCGGGGCUCAAACCCCGGAACUGCCUUUGAAUACUGGUGUCUUGAGUUCGAGAGAGGUGAGUGGAACUCCGAGUGUAGAGGUGAAAUUCGUAGAUAUUCGGAAGAACACCAGUGGCGAAGGCGGCUCACUGGCUCGAUACUGACGCUGAGGUGCGAAAGUGUGGGGAGCAAACAGGAUUAGAUACCCGGGUAGUCC